GCCUUGUAGCUCAGCGGAUUAGAGCGCUCGUUUCCGAUGCGAGAAGUCCCAGGUUCGAACCCUGGCUGGGUCA
rnacentral:tRNA from 1 species